rnacentral:rRNA from 1 species
CUGCAGCCCGAGUGGUGAUCGAUUUUAUUGAGCCUAAAGCGUCCGUAGCCGGACUAGUAAACCCUUGGGUAAAUUGGGCAGCUUAACUGUCCAAAUUCCGAGGGGACUGCUAGUCUUGGGACCGGGGGAGGUCAGAGGUACUCCAGGGGUAGGGGCUAAAUCCUGUAAUCCUUGGGGGACCACCAGUGGCGAAGGCGUCUGACUAGAACGGAUCCGACGGUAAGGGACGAAACCCUGGGGCGCGAACCGGAUUAGAUACCCGAGUAGUCC